CAGAUCGUGAACAGUGUCUUCGAUCAGUUCGGGUCAUCGUCACUUCCUUUCGGCGUCCCGAAUCCAAUGAGCAUCUUCUCUCAAGGACAGUCAUCUGGCAGUGGAUCCGGAUCUUCUGAUAGCGGAUCUGGAUCAUCUGGUAGUGGGUCGGGAGCAUUUGGCCCCUUCGAAACACCAGGAGAGGU